GUGAGGAAUUUUCCGCAAUGGGCGAAAGCCUGACGGAGCAAUGCCGCGUGAAGGAUGAAGGCCUAUGGGUUGUAAACUUCUUUUCUCAGAAAAGAAUUAUGACGGUAUCUGAGGAAUAAGCAUCGGCUAACUCUGUGCCAGCAGCCGCGGUAAGACAGAGGAUGCAAGCGUUAUCCGGAAUGAUUGGGCGUAAAGCGUCUGUAGGUUGUUUAAAAAGUAUUCUGUCAAAGAUUAGGGCUUAACCCUAGAUAGGCAGAAUAAACUUUUAAGCUAGAGUUUGGUAGAGGCAGAGGGAAUUCCCGGUGGAGCGGUGAAAUGCGUAGAUAUCGGGAGGAACACCAAAGGCGAAGGCACUCUGCUGGGCCAAUACUAACACUGAGAGACGAAAGCGAGGGGAGCAAAUGGGAUUAGAUACCCCAGUAGUCG
rnacentral:rRNA from 1 species